UACGGAGGGUGCGAGCGUUGUCCGGAAUCAUUGGGCGUAAAGGGCGCGUAGGUGGCCCGGUCAGCGUGCGGUGAAAGCUCGGGGCUCAACCCCGAGUCGGCCGUGCGAACUGCUGGGCUGGAGCACUGUAGAGGCAGGCGGAAUUCCGGGUGUAGCGGUGGAAUGCGUAGAGAUCCGGAAGAACACCGGUGGCGAAAGCGGCGCGCUAGACACCUACUGACGCUGAGGCUCGAAAGCCAGGGGAGCAAACGGG
rnacentral:rRNA from 1 species